GAUGAACGCUAGCGACAGGCUUAACACAUGCAAGUCGAGGGGCAGCAUAAAAGUAGCAAUACUUUGGUGGCGACCGGCGCACGGGUGAGUAACGCGUAUGCAACCUACCUAUCAGAGGGGAAUAACCCGGCGAAAGUCGGACUAAUACCGCAUAAAACAGGGGCACCGCAUGGUGAUAUGUGUUAAAGAAAUUAGCUGAUAGAUGGGCAUGCGUUCCAUUAGGUGGUUGGUGAGGUAACGGCUCACCAAGCCGACGAUGGAUAGGGGAACUGAGAGGUUGGUCCCCCACACGGGUACUGAGACACGGACCAGACUCCUACGGGAGGCAGCAGUGAGGAAUAUUGGUCAAUGGGCGGGAGCCUGAACCAGCCAAGUCGCGUGAAGGAAGAAGGAUCUAUGGUUCGUAAACUUCUUUUGCAGGGGAAUAAAGUGCAGGACGUGUCCUGUUUUGUAUGUACCCUGAGAAUAAGGAUCGGCUAACUCCGUGCCAGCCGCCGCCGUAA
rnacentral:rRNA from 1 species